GUACUGCUGAAGAGUCCCACACUAGGAUGAAACAGCUGUCCAGUAC
rfam:Trichobilharzia regenti genome assembly, scaffold: TRE_scaffold0003142